rnacentral:tRNA from 1 species
GUCCUGGUGGUGCAAUGGUUAAGCACUCGGCUGCUAACUGAAAGGCUGGUGGUUCGAACCCACCCAACAGCU